rnacentral:rRNA from 1 species
UACGUAGGUGACCAGCGUUGUCCGGAUUUACUGGGCGUAAAGAGCGCGCAGGCGGUCGGUCAAGUCGAGUGUGAAAGCCCCCGGCUCAACUGGGGAGGGUCACUCGAUACUGAUCGGCUUGAAGGCAGGAGAGGGAAGCGGAAUUCCCGGUGUAGUGGUGAAAUGCGUAGAUAUCGGGAGGAACACCAGUGGCGAAGGCGGCUUCCUGGCCUGUUCUUGACGCUGAGGCGCGAAAGCUAGGGGAGCAAACGGG